rnacentral:lncRNA from 1 species
CACGUCGCCCCCACCGGCCCCGCUGCCCGCGGAAUCGCCGGAGAGCGCGCCGACAAAGCUAUCGUCCCCGCCCGCGCUGCGCGACACCGCCGGCGACGCGAACCACACGACGGCAGCGGCGGCGGCGGCGGCGGCGGGGGGGAGGAAACCCCCACACGCGCGGCGGUGUAUAGCGUUGUUGUAUCUACUACCACUACUGCUACCUCUGGUAUGAGAUCCGGUUCGUUUGCUUGUCCAUUACCAUCCUUGUUGAGCUCAAUUUUUGCUUUUCCUUUCUUUUUUUUUUUCUUUUUUUUGGUUAUAACUUGUACACUGGGGAGGGGGAGAAGUGAGAAGAGGUGAAUUCAGAUUGAGCUGCAAAGCAGCAUUUUUUUGUUCUUUCUCUUUCUUUUUGUUCUUACCAGCUGCUUCAUGUUGCACAAAAAGGGAAAUAAUGGUAGCAAUGUACCAUCCUUGUAAAGAUCCAAAAUCCAUUCCACCACCAUCUCUGUUCCAAAUGAAAUCACAUCCAGAUUGCUGCUGCUGAUGAUGGGCUCAGUUCAUCCCCAUCUUUGCUGGGAGGGAAGAUU